rnacentral:rRNA from 1 species
AUGAACGCUGGCGGCAUGCCUAACACAUGCAAGUCGAACGAGAUCUUCGGAUCUAGUGGCGCACGGGUGAGUAACGCGUGGGAACCUGCCUUUUCUGCGGGAUAACGGUUGGAACCGACCGCUAAUACCGCAUACGCCCUACGGGGGAAAGGUCCGCCGGAAAAGAGGGCCCGCGUCUGAUUAGCUUGUUGGUAGGGUAAUGGCCUACCAAGGCGACGAUCAGUAGCUGGUCUGAGAGGAUGAUCAGCCACACUGGGACUGAGACACGGCCCAGACUCCUACGGGAGGCAGCAGUGGGGAAUAUUGG